UCUUUUUUCAUUUCAAUAUUCAGGAUUAUGUUUGGGUUGUGUCUUUUGCUAUUAUGGCUCAAAUCUCUUAAUAUAACCUUGCAAUAUACAAACGUUUCUUAAAGUUAUUUUCAUUACUUUUGUGUUGCUGCAGCCUAUACUCAGCGAUUUUAAAUUUUGCAUGCGUCAGAAUCUCCAGAGAAACUCCUAGUGUUUCUGAUUCUAGUGGUAUGGACUAAGACCGAAGAAUCUGCAUUUCUAAUGAGGAGAUGGAUUUUGGGGAUCAUCUUGGCCAUCCACAACCUGGAUCACUGCCUUCCAAGCUGGUCCUGAGACUCCUUGCCUGACUCAUCUGCUAUGUUUGCAUCUGGCCAGUCAAGUCUACAGGUAAGGUGAGGGGUUCCAGCUAUUGGUAAGCUCUGUAGCCUGCAGAAUUUCUGGGUCCCCUUGCAUAGAUUGCACUACACUACAUAACUCAGACUGGAAUAUGAGUGAUGCAUGGU
rnacentral:lncRNA from 1 species